UACGGGGGGAGCAAGCGUUGUUCGGAUUUACUGGGCGUAAAGGGCGCGUAGGCGGUCAGCACAAGUCAGUUGUGAAAUCUCCGGGCUUAACUCGGAAAGGUCAACUGAUACUGUGCGACUAGAGUGCAGAAGGGGCAACUGGAAUUCUCGGUGUAGCGGUGAAAUGCGUAGAUAUCGAGAGGAACACCUGCGGCGAAGGCGGCUCACUGGACACGUAUUGACGCUGAGGUGCGAAAGCGUGGGGAGCAAACAGG
rnacentral:rRNA from 1 species